rnacentral:pre_miRNA from 1 species
AACCUUCUGUAUCCGUGCUGAGAUUUCUUCACACACCAGACCACAAGGGCUGAUGAGACUUCCAAGAUAAGUGAAGCG